rnacentral:rRNA from 1 species
AACGAACGCUGGCGGCGCGCCUAAUACAUGCAAGUCGAGCGAGAAGACGUAGCAAUACGUUUGUAAAGCGGCGAACGGGUGAGGAAUACAUGGGUAACCUACCCUCGAGUGGGGAAUAACUAGCCGAAAGGUUAGCUAAUACCGCGUACGCUCCUUGGACUUCGGUUCAGGGAGGAAAGCGAUACCGUGGGUAUCGCGCUCUUGGAUGGGCUCAUGUCCUAUCAGCUUGUUGGUGAGGUAACGGCUCACCAAGGCUUCGACGGGUAGCUGGUCUGAGAGGACAAUCAGCCACACUGGCACUGCGACACGGGCCAGACUCCUACGGGAGGCAGCAGUAAGG